AUGCAGUCGAACGGCAGCACGGAGCUUGCUCUGGUGGCGAGUGGCGAACGGGUGUUUAAUAUAUCGGAACGUACCCUAGAGUGGGGGAUAACGUAUCGAAAGUUACGCUAAUACCGCAUACGAUCUAAGGAUGAAAGUGGGGGAUCGCAAGACCUCAUGCUCGUGGAGCGGCCGAUAUCUGAUUAGCUAGUUGGUAGGGUAAAAGCCUACCAAGGCAUCGAUCAGUAGCUGGUCUGAGAGGACGACCAGCCACACUGGAACUGAGACACGGUCCAGACUCCUACGGGAGGCAGCAGUGGGGAAUUUUGGACAAUGGGCGAAAGCCUGAUCCAGCAAUGCCGCGUGAGUGAAGAAGGCCUUCGGGUUGUAAAGCUCUUUUGUCAGGGAAGAAACGGUGAAAGCUAAUAUCUUUUGCUAAUGACGGUACCUGAAGAAUAAGCACCGGCUAACUACGUGCCAGCAGCCGCGGUAAUACGUAGGGUGCAAGCGUUAAUCGGAAUUACUGGGCGUAAAGCGUGCGCAGGCGGUUUUGUAAGUCUGAUGUGAAAUCCCCGGGCUCAACCUGGGAAUUGCAUUGGAGACUGCAAGGCUAGAAUCUGGCAGAGGGGGGUAGAAUUCCACGUGUAGCAGUGAAAUGCGUAGAUAUGUGGAGGAACACCGAUGGCGAAGGCAGCCCCCUGGGUCAAGAUUGACGCUCAUGCACGAAAGCGUGGGGAGCAAA
rnacentral:rRNA from 1 species